rnacentral:rRNA from 1 species
UACAGAGGGUGCAAGCGUUGUUCGGAAUUACUGGGCGUAAAGCGUGCGUAGGCGGUAUUGAGAGUCACGGGUGAAAGCCCCAGGCUUAACCUGGGAACUGCCUGUGAGACCUCAGUACUAGAGUGUGAGAGAGGAUUGUGGAAUUCCUGGUGUAGCGGUGAAAUGCGUAGAGAUCAGGAGGAACACCGGUGGCGAAGGCGACAAUCUGGCUCAUAACUGACGCUCAGGCACGAAAGCGUGGGUAGCAAAC